UCUCAGCUAGCUAGGCUGGCCGCCAUGGUGAUGGUGAGGGAGGGGGCUUGGCACCAGGAGCCAGUCAGCACAGGAGGGGAGAGGUCCCUCUGGAGGUCAAAACCUGUUGCCACAGUCCCUGUCCUGCAGGCCAACCUCCGGGACUGUCUCUGAGCCCGCCGGCCUCUGUUCACGUGACCAGCCUCACCACCCCUGUGGCCCAGCCACCAGCACCUCUGACGGAACCUUCCAGCCCCACCCUGUCUGGCGUCAGCUCUACCACGGUGCUUUGCUGCUGGCCAGAGGGAGGCCCUGAAGGGACCCUGCACCUCUUCCUACCCUGUGCCUCCUUCAGGGGCUCCCCUCAGGCCUACGGGGGGCAGGUGAGGCCCCACCCACCUCCGCUUCACAGGAGCCACCCUGCAGCCUGGCUCUCCCCAGCGCCCCCCAGCUCUCCCCCACCUGCUCUGCUGUGGAAGCCCCCUCUUGCCCCUGGACUCCCGCACUGGUCCUGGCUCCCCUCUUUUCCCACUGAGGCUAGCUGCGGUUGCCCCGGAGGCCACACGGAGGCCGGUCCGUGCCCACCUGCCCUGGACGGUGAGGCCCCAGGAAACCUCCCACCCACCGCCAGCUGCUGCACAACCCUGGACGACUGGAGAGCUUCAGGUCAAGGGAGCACUUGGAGUCACCUCUCAGACUGCACACGCAGCCACGAGCUCAAUGGCGUCCGCUGGGCUGCGCCGUUGGCUAAAAGCCAUGACGGCUGCCAAGCACAGCUUCUAGAGAAGGUGCUCACUUCUUAGGACUCAGCCCCACGUGCUUCCAGGACACCUCCCAGGAACAAGCAUAGGGCAGGAAGCUGCCCGGGAAGCUCAGCCACCAGCCUCUGUACCUGCUCCCCGCCGGUGGCACUUGGGCCCACAGCUGAGCACUUGGCAAAGGCAACGCUGACACCAGGCUGAAGGGCGCACCACCUCCCCAGAAGGGCGAGGGACGUACUGCUCCCCAGGUGUUGAGGCCGACUUGUUCUUGCCAAAGGGUCCGGGAGAGAGUCUCCAGGUCAUGUGAUGGGACGUCUGUCCUCACUGGCUAAGUCUGUGGUGGGGAGUCCACUCUUCUUCAUGGGGCUGAUAAAGGAGACUCCAAUCUUCCUCACUGCAGGUGAGGCAGCAGAGUCCACUCGUCCAGAGGUCCUGAGGGAGGAGAGUCCACUCCUCCAGAGGUCCUGAG